AUUUGAGAAUGAAGCUCAGCUGAAGUUUGAACAGCAUACUGACAUAUACCAACAAGAAUGAAAAUAACUUAACAGCAAUUUUAUAAAUUCACAUCCCCCAGAGCACCACAGAGUAAAGAAAUACUGCAUAUGGGUAACAACUGGUUCUUAGUUACUAAAUCUGAAAGAUCAAAUACAGUUAAUUACAUAAGCUUCUCUUGAGUUUUUCUGGGGGAAUAUACCAGGAGACCAUAAUCAAGCAUCACCAGUGGCAUUUCAUACUGGUCCCAUGGUGUUAAUCCAGGUUUCUGGUAUUGCACUAAACACGAUGAAAAACAGGAGAGAACGGAGAGGGAUCAUGUUUUACCACAAUAUGCAAUUUAUGGGAGAGAUGAAGCGCUCAGGUGGAGAUGACUAGUGUCACGUGGUGUUUUAAGUGGAUACUCACAACGCUGGAACUCACAGCAAUAACAACAAGAGAUCCUCUAUAGACUGUUGAUGUAUAGCCAUGAGAAAAAAAAAAGAAAAAUUUUUGCUCUCAAUGAGCUUGCAUUUAAGCAUCUAUAAAAGGUGAGAUUAAUAUUUACUCAGUGAACUUUGAGUAAAGCAUUGGGUGCUUCAUUAUGUGGAGGAGUCUCAUCCAAUCAGUUGAAGGUGACUGAAUGGAACUAUAGAUCGACCUCACAUAAAUGAGAGGGAAUUCUGCAACAGAUCAUCUUUGCCUUUGAACUGCAGCAUGGACUCCCCUCUGGGUCUCCUGCCUGCCAGCCCACCCUGCAGAGUGCAUUUGCCAGCCUCCACAAUCAGGUUUUUCUCAGGGGAAGCCGAGCUCCAGACUAUUCAUUUGUCCUGAGGCAGCCACUUGAAACACAAUCAUUUUGUAUUUCUACGAUGUUUUGACCUUUUAUCCAAGUCAGCCCUAUAGAAUGGGCCAGGAGGUUGCUGCCACUGAAUAAGCCACUGUGAUUUUUAGCGUCAAGAAUUUUGCUGUUAACUAUGGCAGAAAAAUAGACAGAGGACAAUAAAAA
rnacentral:lncRNA from 1 species